AAAGUAGCAAUACUUUUGGUGGCGACCGGCGCACGGGUGAGUAACGCGUAUGCAACCCAUUUAUCAGAGGGGAAUAACCCGGCGAAAGUCGGACUAAUACCGCAUAAAACAGGGGCACCGCAUGGUGAUAUUUGUUAAAGAAAUUCGCUGAUAGAUGGGCAUGCGUUCCAUUAGGUAGUUGGUGAGGUAACGGCUCACCAAGCCGACGAUGGAUAGGGGAACUGAGAGGUUGGUCCCCCACACUGGUACUGAGACACGGACCAGACUCCUACGGGAGGCAGCAGUGAGGAAUAUUGGUCAAUGGGCGAGAGCCUGAACCAGCCAAGUCGCGUGAAGGAAGAAGGAUCUAUGGUUCGUAAACUUCUUUUGCAGGGGAAUAAAGUGCAGGACGUGUCCUGUUUUGUAUGUACCCUGAGAAUAAGGAUCGGCUAACUCCGUGCCAGCAGCCGCGGUAAUACGGAGGAUCCGAGCGUUAUCCGGAUUUAUUGGGUUUAAAGGGUGCGUAGGUGGUUUGAUAAGUCAGCGGUGAAAGUUUGCAGCUUAACUGUAAAAAUGCCGUUGAAACUGUCGGACUUGAGUGUAAAUGAGGUAGGCGGAAUGCGUGGUGUAGCGGUGAAAUGCUUAGAUAUCACGAAGAACUCCGAUUG
rnacentral:rRNA from 1 species